rnacentral:lncRNA from 1 species
AAAGAUAAACCAAAAUCUAAUUUUUCAAAGUCAAACCUAAACAGUCAUAAAAGGGCUCUCCUAACAUCAAAAGAAAAAUCAAUCUGUUAAAGGGCCCUUUGAUACAGCCAGAAAAAUUAUAAAAAUUGUACAAACAAGGUGCUAUUCGCCGCAAAAUAAGGGGAAAAAUUAGAACUAAUCACAACAACGCCAAGCAUUAUCAAAAUCAACAGCGACAAAGAGCAAAAUCAUAAAGGAAAACAGAUAGAUAUAAAGUAACGGAAAUAAUCUUACAAAAAUUGGUGAAAUAACCAGAUGUAGAAU